CGGCUCUAAGCCCCCCCUCUCUUCCCAUCUUCUCGACCGAGCGGGGAAGCGCGAGUCCAUGGCAGAAGAAGCCUCCUACCCCCUUCCCCUCCCUCCCCCACGUCUCGUCUCUCGUCUCUACCCCCCUUCUCUCUCAGCUCUAUCUCUCUCUCUCCUGCAUCUGAGCAUCGUCGGGUUCUAGAUCCAGCCACCCUCCAUCUACAGAUCCACAAGCUCAUGCUGUUCCCCCUCCGGCGGCGGCGGCGCUAGGAUUCAGCGUCCUUGGAGGAGACUAUUCCAAUGCUUACAGGCUGUGGACUAGGCGCAGAGGGAGCGGGACCAACGCCGCCGGUGAUGGACCGUACACGGACCCCCUACCUCCAGGCAGCCUUCUCCGCCGUGUUGUGCCCACGCGAGCAGAUGAGGUCCUACCUCGCGUGCUUGACGAUGCAGCACCUGCUCAGCCGCUGGACGUCCUCGCUGCUCAGGGUUUGGGCCAUGGAAGCUGUUGCUGGGCUACGAGGCUAGGGGGUUAGCCAAAAUGUUGGUCUCAAAAUCACAGAUAAGUGCUCCAAACUAAAUCCCCAACCCCUCUACUACUAAAGCCCUACGAAUUGGGGUUCAGAUAGUACUAAAUUUGUGGUGCGGUAAGGCCACGCCCUUUUGUGCUCUUGCCAAUGGUACCAGUUGUAAGACUUUGUGUAUACGAAUCUGACUUGAAUUGUUUGCCAAUUAAAUUACAGCAGAUGCUGUUACAGUGCUGCCGGAGGUUAAUAAACAUGGUGUUGACGCCAAGCACUUUUUCUAUCUUAGAUUCAGCUAGUAGGCGAAUGAACGGAAGUUCUCCAUGGGCGCUAGUGCUAUCUUGUUUGUUUUGUCAACUGAGGUAGUAAUGUAGUAUGCAUUUGAGAUCAGCUUGGCAAUACGAGGAAGAGAGAAGUCAUAUAAGAAAAGGGUAUAGCCUAGGGUGUGCUAAUGAAUAGAAUGCAACUGCAGGUUUUGUUAUAUGUACUUAAGCGAUUGCUCUGUCCCAUGAAUGUCCAUAGCAUGUUCUUCUCUGCCUCUAAGUUUGUUGUUCACAAAGUCCAGCCAAUUGGCCCAAGGGAUAUUAAUUACCACCAUUCAAUCACCAGCAUUCCCUGGGAUAUUAAUUAGUUGAAGGAAGCACUGAAAUAGAGACAUUAAGGGAUUGUGUUUUGUUACUUUUACUUCAGCUACUACCAGCUUAGUAAAAUUUUGAUAGAAAUUCAGGGAUUGUAGUUUUUUUAUUACUUUGAGUGAUUCUGUCCCUAUGCAAAGUAAUUCUGUUACUGCAUGGUGCUUCAUUCUGAAUGAUUAAUGGUUAGAAGAAUCUUAAGUGAUCAGAAUUAUUAAACUUAUGUCAUCCUGCAUAUAACUUGCUGAUUUUUGCAACUGCAAUACCUUUAUAGAAUGGAUAAAUACAUGCUUCCUGUUUUAACAAUGCUGCUCCUUUCUUGUGAUAACUUCUGCAGGAUUGGUUUGGCACAGACUUUUUAAUUGCUGAAGCUUUCAAUUUCGAUAUUGUUUCAUUUGUUAAGUUUGCAGAAGUAAUUAAACAUUUGAAAAUCUACAUAGCUUCAGGGAGUCAUGGCAGUUAAUUACAGAGAAUAGCAAUGGUCGACCACGAACAGAUGCACACUGUUUGGAACACUUGCUGUUUCUUUUCACAAGCUUGAUGAGUGGAAUCAGAGAGGUAGGGUUCAGCAGCACUUCGAGAGAAAACGGAUGACCAGCAAAGUGAGCUCGAAGACUUAAAGCUAAAGUUCCAGGAAUCUGAAGCAGCAAGGGAGAAUCAAAGGGGAGAGAUCGAAAGUUUGAAGAAGCAAGGAGAGGAAAGCAAUGCUACGGAGUCUAGAGAGUUGUUUUGGCUGUUCAGUGAACAUGUUAUGGAGUUACUUGUCUUUUUUGUUUUGACUUGACAAGUGAUGUUGGGUUGUGAUAUGCAUAUGAAUCUGGUGGUUUUUGGACAAGUGAUGACGGGCUGUACUAAAUAUUAUGUGAAGUGACCCGUUGUUUUGAAGGAAUGUGUUGUUUUGAAGU